CACAAUAAACAUAUGAAGGCUGCACCGCCAACAGGCGGCAAGGCUGGAGUAUUUUAUUACCCUUGUCUUUUGCGCACUUGUUGUUUCCUGGGCGGGUUUGCCCGCCUCCAGGACCACAUGAUAAACCUUUUUUAUGCAGUUGCAAUCAGCGUCAGUACAACAAAUGUAAAUCAUUUA
rnacentral:misc_RNA from 1 species